UACGUAGGGGGCUAGCGUUGUCCGGAUUUAUUGGGCGUAAAGAGCUCGUAGGCGGUUUUGUUGCGUCGGCUGUGAAAUCCCGAGGCUCAACCUCGGGUCUGCAGUCGAUACGAGCAAACUAGAGUGUUUGCAGGGGAGACUGGAAUUCCUGGUGUAGCGGUGAAAUGCGCAGAUAUCAGGAGGAACACCGGUGGCGAAGGCGGGGUCUCUGGGGCAAUGACCUUGACGUGAGGAGCGAAAA
rnacentral:rRNA from 1 species